rnacentral:rRNA from 1 species
GACGAACGCUGGCGGCGUGCUUAACACAUGCAAGUCGAACGGAUAGGCCCUGUUUUUUGUGCGGUGGGGCAGGGGCGAACGGGUGAGUAACACGGGAGUAACCUUCCCUUCACUACUGGAUAACCGCCGGAAAGGGUGGCUAAUACGGGGAGUUUUGGCUGUGCCGCAUGGUUCGACAGGGAAAGAUGGUUUUUCUGGGUGUUUUGGUUGGGGAUGGGCUGGCGUCCUAUCAGCUUGUUGGGGGGGUGGUGGCCUGCCAAGGCGUUGACGCGUCGCCGGCCUGGGAGGGUGGGCGGUCACACUGGGGAUGCGCUACGGCCCAGACUCCUGCGGGCGGCAGCAGUGAAGGGUAGUGCACGAUGGGCGGAAUGCUGAUGCAGCGACGUCGCGUGGGGGAUGGACGUCGUCGGGUAAUAAACCUCUUUCGCCGGAGAAGAAGUUCCUGCUCUUUGUGGUGGGGUUUGCCGUUGCCUGGUUAUGAAGCGCCGGCUAACUACGUG